rnacentral:sRNA from 1 species
CACUGGUAUCCAGUCAUCCAUUGGCACAGAGACACAGUUUCCACUUUGAUACAAUCUGUGUCAGCCUGGCAGUUAAUUUAUUUAGCAGCAUCUUAAAUUUUUUUUUUUUGCAUAAAAUCCAGCUCCUGCAGGAUAUUUAUCAGCAUCUUUGCAAGAGAGGAUGAAUUCAAAAUAAAGUACAAGAGAAGAAACAUUCAGGAUUGUGGUGAGGAGCAAAUGAAUCAACGCAUGGGCAAGGAAUGGUCGCAUCUGUGAAAGGAAAUUCAAUCUUGGGACCCCGAAAUCCUACACCAAAGAGAAAAGUCAAGCUGGGAACUGCAUCAGGCAAACCUGCCUCCCAUUUAAUUGCUAAAUAAGAUAGCUACAAAGAUUUUUUAAAAAGGAAAAAAAACUACAUAUCUCCGUCACAAUUUGCCCGCAAGGAAAUUUUUGUGGGCCUCAAGAUCUUUACCCUAAAACAGUUCUGUUGAAUUUCACUUUGGAAAUGUAAGUUGAUAGCUGAUCUUCACAACUGUGGGACAAAGGACAGAACUCAAAGUCAUCCCUCUGCUCACCUGAGACAAAUGCAUAUCUGAUUGCUUUCUCUGCCUUACUGUUUAUGCAAAACUGCAGAUGCACUGAGGCUAAGUGAUCAUUCCUCUACCCACCCCUCACAUGUAAAUUGUGUAUUCAGUGAAAGGCUGAUAAAAGACUCGAAAGACUGCAACCAUUUGUCUCUUACCUACCUGUGAUCUGGAAGCCCCCGCCCCCGUGCUUUGAGUUGUCCUGCCUUUCCAGACCAAACCAAUGUACCUCUUACACAUAUUGAUUGAUGUCUCAUGUCUCUCUAAAUGCAUAAAAUCAA